rnacentral:lncRNA from 1 species
UUUUUUUUUUUUUUUUUACCAUGGGAGGGUGUAGUCGAAGCCUUUGGACUCCUGGGUAUGUAGCUGAUUCAUCAUGGGAGCCAGCCUGCUCUAAAUUUGGCUGUGGUGUGUCAUUAAAGCUAGAAAACGCUGCCACUUAGACAAAUUAGACCUUAGAACACCACCAGCCUCUGCUAGGACUGGAGCCUGCUUGCUAAAAGCAGAGGGCGGCCUGUGUGGCUCUGUAUGGAACUCUUGGUUCUGAGUCUUGAACUGGAGUGGGCUGGAGACCAAGCGGGGCUGAGAAGUGGCCUUACUCUUCCUGAGAGCAGCAAGGCUGGCUGCUGUCUCAGCUCCUACAUGUGUAUUCCUUUUCCUGAUGGAUCUGUCUUAUCGGUGACCUCUCACUUGUACUGAGAAGCCAGAAUGGGGUGUCCCAGCAGCUUUCUGUCUAGGCUUCUGGGACUGCAAGGGUUAAAUGUUGCAGCAGAUGAGGGGGCUUCUCUCCACCCACACUUUUCUGUUUACUUACUUUGAUAUUUUGAGAAUGUUUCAUUAUGUAGCUCAGACUGGCCUAGGAUUUACUAGCUGCUUCCCAAAUGUUUCCGGCAUUAGAGGUGUGCAUCGCCAUGCUUACCUACCCACCUUUCUUGUCUCUGGUUUAUCUUAGCCUCUUCCUGGCUUCUUACCUGGUUUCUGCACCUCUUUUUCUCUUAGCACCUUUUGGUUUUUCUCCUUACAAAGUUCUCCAUGUUGUAUCAACAGAACGAUAAGGAAUAUAUGCAGUGUUAGAAAUGGCUUA